GGUGAGGUGGCUGAGUGGUCUAAAGCACUGGUCUUGAAAACCAGCGUACGUUAUGCGUACCGUGGGUUCGAAUCCCACCCUCACCGCCA
rnacentral:tRNA from 1 species